GCCCAAGUGGUGGAACUGGUAGACACGCAGCCUUGAGGGGGCUGUAGCGCGAGCUGUGAGAGUUCGAAUCUCUCCUUGGGCACCA
rnacentral:tRNA from 1 species